UACAAUAUACGCAAUAAACUUCCUGUUUUUACCAGUAUUUUCAAGGUGCUUCCUGCUUUGAAGAAUCCGGGAAUUUUGUACGGAACAUGACAACAAUUUGGUUGUAAAGUGGCUAUAGUUAGGCCAUUUUCUUUAUUUCUUUUGUUCUUUUUUUAAUUCCCUUUUUGUUGUAUUUCAUGUUAUGUAAAUUGGGGAUAGGUUGUAAAAGAAACUUUUGUACUCUCCUUUAGUGGAGAUUGAAUUUUACGCUCAAUUUUGCACCAUCAUUGGAGAUGCAUUUAGAAGGGAUUUUAAACCACCUUGUGUGUGAAAUAUUCAGUCUGUCAAUUGAAGAGAGGAACUUAAUGCAGUGUUUGGCUUUUGAAGCUGGUUGGAUCUUUUUGCCCCAUAAUCCAGAAUUGAUUGUCAAGGUAGGGUGAUUGGAGAGUUAAUUUUUGUUUGGCAAGGGCGAUUUACAGGCGGCUGAAAGGAGAAAAGAUAGAAGAGCUUAAAACCGUCUCUGUCUGCCUUGUAUAAGAGUGUUGGUAUUGCCUUGCAUCUCUUUCCUGAAUAGAAGUAUAAAAGCUAGAUGUUGAUCCCUUUUUGUCAAGCUUCUUCAAGUAUUGGUGCAUUGUUCAUGGCAACGGUAUGAGCAAAUAUUUCUUCUAGCAUUUGGAGUUAGGGAUUGAUAUAUAGAUUGAAUUUGAAAGUGUCUAGAAAAUUAUUGAAAAGGUCUUCUAUCUGAAAUGUUAGAUAUGCUGUCUGUUAAGAAAUGUGAAAAUGCAGUUGAGAAAUGUUUGUUCAUGGCUUCUUAUUCACAAUACUUGAGGACAGAACAUCAUUUUCGAAAAUAAUUAGUAUUUGUAAGUUAUUUUUCUUACUAGUACAUAAAUAAGCCUUUUUUUUUUUUCUUGAAAGUGAAUUUUUAGUUGAAAGUAAUUCUGUACUUAACGAGUGAAUCGCUAUUGGUUUGAUAUCAAUAAUGGCUGUUGUUUCAGUUAG
rnacentral:lncRNA from 1 species